rnacentral:rRNA from 1 species
GUAGGUGGCAAGCGUUAUCCGGAAUUAUUGGGCGUAAAGCGCGCGCAGGCGGUUUCUUAAGUCUGAUGUGAAAGCCCACGGCUCAACCGUGGAGGGUCAUUGGAAACUGGGGAACUUGAGUGCAGAAGAGAAAAGCGGAAUUCCACGUGUAGCGGUGAAAUGCGUAGAGAUGUGGAGGAACACCAGUGGCGAAGGCGGCUUUUUUGGUCUGUAACUGACGCUGAGGCGCGAAAGCGUGGGGAGCAAACAGGGAUUAGAUACCCUGGUAGUCUACGCCGUAAACGAUGAGUGCUAAGUGUUAGAGGGUUUCCGCCCUUUAGUGCUGCAGCUAACGCAUUAAGCACUCCGCCUGGGGAGUACGGUCGCAAGACUG